rnacentral:tRNA from 1 species
GCCCCAGUAGUAUAAAUAUUACCCUGGUCUUGUAAGCCAGAGAUGGAGAUCAACUCACCUUGGGACA